UGACCGCUGGCGGCGUGCUUAACACAUGCAAGUCGAACGAAGCACUUUAUUUGAUUUCCUUCGGGACUGAUUAUUUUGUGACUGAGUGGCGGACGGGUGAGUAACGCGUGGGUAACCUGCCUUGUACAGGGGGAUAACAGUUGGAAACGGCUGCUAAUACCGCAUAAGCGCACAGCAUCGCAUGAUGCAGUGUGAAAAACUCCGGUGGUAUAAGAUGGACCCGCGUUGGAUUAGCUAGUUGGUGAGGUAACGGCCCACCAAGGCGACGAUCCAUAGCCGACCUGAGAGUGUGACCGGCCACAUUGGGACUGAGACACGGCCCAAACUCCUACGGGAGGCAGCAGUGGGGAAUAUUGCACAAUGGGCGAAAGCCUGAUGCAGCGACGCCGCGUGAGCGAAGAAGUAUUUCGGUAUGUAAAGCUCUAUCAGCAGGGAAGAUAAUGACGGUACCUGACGAAGAAGCACCGGCUAAAUACGUG
rnacentral:rRNA from 1 species